rnacentral:rRNA from 1 species
UAGGGAAUCUUCCACAAUGGACGCAAGUCUGAUGGAGCAACGCCGCGUGAGUGAAGAAGGUUUUCGGACCGUAAAGCUCUGUUGUUGGUGAAGAAGGAUAGAGGUAGUAACUGGCCUUUAUUUGACGGUAAUCAACCAGAAAGUCACGGCUAACUACGUGCCAGCAGCCGCGGUAAUACGUAGGUGGCAAGCGUUGUCCGGAUUUAUUGGGCGUAAAGCGAGCGCAGGCGGAAGAAUAAGUCUGAUGUGAAAGCCCUCGGCUUAACCGAGGAAUUGCAUCGGAAACUGUUUUCUUGAGUGCAGAAGAGGAGAGUAGAACUCCAUGUGUAGCGGUGGAAUGCGUAGAUAUAUGGAAGAAUACCAGUGGCGAAGGCGGCUCUCUGGUCUGCAAACUGACGCUGAGGCUCGAAAGCAUGGGUAGCGAACAGGAUUAGAUACCCUGGUAGUCCAUGCCGUAAACGAUGAGUGCUAAGUGUUGGGAGGCUUCCGCCUCUCAGUGCUGCAGCUAACGCAUUAAGCACUCCGCCUGGGGAGUACGACCGCAAGGUUGAAA